AAGAAAUUAAGAAUAGGGUCAGCUGCUAACUGACUACUAAAGCGGUUUAAUUCCGUUUAUUUCUUU
rnacentral:tRNA from 1 species